GACGAACGCUGGCGGCGUGCCUAAUACAUGCAAGUUGAGCGCUGAAGGUUGGUACUUGUACCAACUGGAUGAGCAGCGAACGGGUGAGUAACGCGUGGGGAAUCUGCCUUUGAGCGGGGGACAACAUUUGGAAACGAAUGCUAAUACCGCAUAAAAACUUUAAACACAAGUUUUAAGUUUGAAAGAUGCAAUUGCAUCACUCAAAGAUGAUCCCGCGUUGUAUUAGCUAGUUGGUGAGGUAAAGGCUCACCAAGGCGAUGAUACAUAGCCGACCUGAGAGGGUGAUCGGCCACAUUGGGACUGGGACACGGCCCAAACUCCGACGGGAGGCAGCAGUAAGGAAUCUUCGGCAAUGGACGAAAGUCUUACCGAGCAACGCCGCGUGAGUGAAGAAGGUUUUCGGAUCGUAAAACUCUGUUGGUAGAGAAGAACGUUGGUGAGAGUGGAAAGCUCAUCAAGUGACGGUAACUACCCAGAAAGGGACGGCUAACUACGUG
rnacentral:rRNA from 1 species